AACGAACGCUAGCGGCAUGCCUAACACAUGCAAGUCGAACGAGACCUUCGGGUCUAGUGGCGCACGGGUGCGUAACGCGUGGGAACCUGCCCUUAGGUUCGGAAUAACGCCUCGAAAGGGGUGCUAAUACCGGAUAAUGUCUUCGGACCAAAGAUUUAUCGCCUUUGGAUGGGCCCGCGUUGGAUUAGCUAGUUGGUGGGGUAAAGGCCUACCAAGGCGACGAUCCAUAGCUGGUCUUAGAGGAUGAUCAGCCACACUGGGACUGAGACACGGCCCAGACUCCUACGGGAGGCAGCAGUGGGGAAUAUUGGACAAUGGGCGAAAGCCUGAUCCAGCAAUGCCGCGUGAGUGAUGAAGGCCUUAGGGUUGUAAAGCUCUUUUACCCGGGAUGAUAAUGACAGUACCGGGAGAAUAAGCUCCGGCUAACUCCGUGCCAGCAGCCGCGGUAAUACGGAGGGAGCUAGCGUUGUUCGGAAAUACUGGGCGUAAAGCGCACGUAGGCGGCGCCGCAA
rnacentral:rRNA from 1 species